UUUUUUUAUUCUGGAUAAAAAUAAACAUAAGUAUUUCAAACACUCCAAAAUAAUUUACAGGGUGGAUGAAAAAUAGAAAAUGGAGGGGUGCCUGGGUGGCUCAGUUGGUUAAGCAUCCAACUCUUGAAUUUCGGCUCCGGGCAUGACCUCAGGGUCCGGAGAUCGAGCCCCUGAUAUUCCUUCUAGGCGGCAAGAGAUUUCAUUUAACCUUCAUUUGACACACACUGAUCUAGGUCUGGGGACUCAAAGGUAUACCAGAUACACUUCCUGUCCUGGGAGCUCACGGCCGGGGAGACAGACACAAGAAUAGGUAAUUGUAUCUCUGAGGUAAGUGCCAGGAUAAAAAUAGGCUCCUCGUGUUAUGGGAGCUCGGUGUGGGCCGGAAGGCUUCCCGAUGGCCACGACACCCGAGCAGAGAGCAGAGUCGUAAGGGAGAUCUGGUCAGGGCAGAGGAAGGGCAUGCCAGGGCAGGGGGCUGCACGUGCAGAGGUACAAAGGUGAGAAGCAACGGGGCAGGAGCACGCUGUGCGGGAAGGCGGCCUAUGCUGAAGGCAGGGCCCAUCUGGGGAGCGUGGUCUCCAUCCUGCAGGGCACGGUGGGGAGUGGGGAAGGCCAUGUGGAAAUCUGUGCUCUAGGUAGAUCAUGGAGGCUGGUGGAGCUGGGAUUUGAGGAUCACAGGGCUGGGCACAGGGGGAUGAUGAGAAAGCUGUUGCGAGGGCCCAGAGGGAGAAGGGGCACCCCUGUGAUCCAGGAGCCUGGCAGGAGUCCUUUGCAUGCCGUCUUUGCACACACAGUGUGAGCAGAUCCAGCUUCUCCAGUUCCUUUUUCAGAAACAGACUCCUGAUCGAUGAUUCUUGACCUCUGAAAGCAUUGGUUCACACAGCCACUCAAUCGCUCCUGGAAGUUUUUUUUUUGCUAUUUUCAUAGAAUGGAUAUCAAAAUUCAUUUUGAUCAAAGUAUUUCAUUAGCUUUCGACUUUUCAGUGAGCAGCAAAGAGUCACCACUGAAUCAAGAACCUUUUGUUCUGUCAGCUAAUAUCAAGUAAGGAGCUUCUUUAAAAAGAAAUCCUGAUUAUACAAUCAUGAAUAAUCAUGAUGAAGAUAAAAAGAGGGAAGGAACAGAGGAGUCCAGUGUGCCAGCACGAGCUCCCUGUUGAGCUAAUUUUUUGAGAGGAUGGACAAAAUGUAGAGGAAAGAGCGUAAUCAGAGAUGAAUCCUGGAACAUGACACAAUCCCGAAAAAUACCGUCAGGAAGACCAUGCUGUGGUUUGCUGGAAAUCCUAAGGAAAACAAAACAGGCCUUCAUAGUGCCUUUGAUCAAAAUGAAUUUUGAUAUCCAUCCUAUGGACAAGAAGAAUGAGAGGGUGGAUCCACUGCAUAGGGGACUGCACAAGGUUGUGCAGCUCAGGAGGCACCUACACUCCCCGUCGUGGACAGAAGAGCAGCCACCAUACACCAUCAGGCUGCUGAUAAGAGGGCCUGGGGCUGGGGAACUGGAGACUCCACUGAUGCAGGUGGGGGGCAGGAGAGCAACUGGCCCUGGCACACUCCUAUUUCCAUGUGGCAGGACUUCAGCUUAACGACUAUAAGGAAUUCCUAACCUUUUGGAGGUGGUAAUGUCCUGUGGUGGCUGGAAAAAAUGAUCACAACCAGGGGGGCUUAAAACAAGACAUUUAUUCUCUCGUGGUUCUGGAGGCCAGAGUCAGGCAUCAAGGUGCGGCAGGACCUUCAACCCUGCACAGACUCUAAGGGAGGAUCCUUUCUGGCCUCUCCCAACUUCUGCUGGCUCUAGGCAUUUCUUGGCUGGUGGCCACCCGGUCCUGCUGCAGUGUCUGCCUCUAUCUUCACAGGGCCACGUCCUCUGUGUGGGUCUCUCUACUCCACAGGUCUCUUUAAGGACACUUGUCAUUGGAUUUAGGGCCCACCUGGCUAAUCCAAGUUGAUCUCAUCUCAAGGCCCGUCAUUACAUCUGAAAAGACCCUUUUCCCAAGUCAGGGAACAACUUACAGGUUGCAGGGAUUCGCAUGUGGACAUAUCUCUUGUGGGACCACCAUUCAACCCACUACGAGAUCAUAAACCACUUUCAGAAUCUGAUGAGAACCAGUGAACUGUGAAUCAUGUCACUGCUGGGCACUGAGGCUGAGACGAGGGUUCUUGAACAAGCAAUUUAUGGAGGGAGCGCUCUAAGAAGGGGAGAAAAGAAAGGAAGCGAGGGCAGGGGUCAGAAGCUCAGUAAGAAAUGGCCUCAGCUGGAGACUAGCUUGCACCUGGUCUCAUGAGCUGCCCUAGAGCAUGAAUUGCACUAGUGUUGUUCCCACCUGGAGGCAAGGGGUGGCCUUUGUACCCCCAAGUCAGUCAGGUUCCCUGGUGGGGGGCAGGUAGAGUCUCUGUGACCAGGAGCUCCCUCUAGGCCAAGAAGAAUUCAUAAAAGAAGUGGGCAGGAACACUCACAGCAGCCCUUGAGGGUAGGUCAAAGGGAUCUGGUCAACGCCCCACAUCUGCAGACUCUCUAGAAAAAUCACACACACACCCCAUUCAAUCUCAGGGACUUAGGCCCUCUAAGGCCUUAGACUCUAGGUUUAGGACCUGUGACCACUGCUGACCUAACACUUUGGGUCCCUCAUCUCCCAGAGGAAUGACUGGUGAUGUCUGGGAGGUGGACGGAGCACCCUCAAAUUGAUCCUCUUCUGACUGAACUUCCUGCGGAGCAGGCCUCCUGCCCUACGGAGGGGCUGCCUCAGGGUGAGGGAGAUGACUUCAAAGGAAAGUCCCUUUGGCCACAGAUGCACAGCCCUCCUUUCUAAUCAGCUUUUCAGUGAUACAGCUAAUAGCUUAAUCUCCACCUGUCCCACUCCUACCUCUCUCAAGCAGUUCUGAAUCCUGGCAGGAUAUUCACAAACCUGCUAAGACCCCAAGUCAUGUCAUCAGACAGUGCCUCUCAAACUACGAUUGGUAGGUUGGCUACCCGACCGCUUGCCCCAGGGUAUGAUGGACCCACUGCUUCCUCACUGGUCAAGCUUGUGCCAGAACAGUUGGCUGACCUCAACAGUGUACGCUGUGAUGCAGAGGGCUUGCGUGCUACGCAAACUCGCUUCCUUGCGGACAGGCACUUUGAGCAGCACUGACAGAGGCAAUUGUGGACAAUCCUGGGAGGCUGAUGAGACAGGUGGGCACCACCUGAAGGGCUCUCAUCUGAAACAGGGGGGACAGUGUAUUGAGCAUAAGUUAAAAAGGGGCAACAUCUGACUCAAAAUAAUGCUAUGGUAACAUUAAUGCUUAAUGGGGAAUCGUUCAGAGCCUUCACCACCGCUGCUGGAUCCUGGAGGCCUUGUCAGGGCAGUGGGCAGGUAUGAGGGCCAUACGGGGAAGGACCUGGAAGGACUUGUGGGGAAGCAGACCAGAGUGGAGACAAGGGAAGGUGCUGGAAAGGGAAGUCCUGUGGGUGAGACGUGGGAGCAGAGUGAGGGUUACUGUGUUUUGGAGAGCAGCUGCCAUCGUGGGGGAGGGGAGGUACUAAGCGGAGACGGAACUGCCAUGGAAGGUCUCUCAUUAGCCUGGGCCCUUUGGCAGGUCCUAGUAAUGUGCUCAUGUUUUUGUAAAAUUUUUUUAAAGAUUUUAUUUAUUUAUUCAUGAGAGACACAGAGAGGGAGGCAGAGA
rnacentral:lncRNA from 1 species